rnacentral:rRNA from 1 species
UACGUAGGGUGCGAGCGUUAAUCGGAAUUACUGGGCGUAAAGCGUGCGCAGGCGGCUUCGCAAGUCAGACGUGAAAUCCCCGGGCUUAACCUGGGAAUGGCGUUUGAAACUACGGAGCUGGAGUGUGGCAGAGGGAGGUAGAAUUCCACGUGUAGCGGUGAAAUGCGUAGAUAUGUGGAGGAAUACCGAUGGCGAAGGCAGCCUCCUGGGCCAACACUGACGCUCGUGCACGAAAGCGUGGGGAGCAAACAGG